CACUGUCCGACGGCUGUUGGGAUGUACAGUAUAUGUGCCAAACCAAAGCAUUUUCGCAAUUCCAACAAUUAAACCACGUUUUUAUAAUUGGACGCGUACUGUAGGUCUCGUUUCCUCUUUCAGUCGAAAACGUUGUGUUUCACCAUCCACCGGAUAAACUUAUUUUCGUCAACCUGCAGUUUUUGGAUCAUUCAUCAUUCACUAGUGAGGACCAUUCAACUGUGAGGAGCGAAACAUUGAACGGACCCAUGAGCCCGAAUAGGACGAAAACCCUCGCAUAGAAUAGGUGUAGCUUCCACCCAAGAUGGCCGCCUCCUUCCUGUGGCACUACGCGACUAUCCUGCUAGCGGUGAUGUGCUGCUUCUUGCCCCGCUCCACCUCCUCCCUCAAUCUGGAGGACCCCAACGUCUGCAGCCACUGGGAGAGCUACUCGGUCACCGUCCAGGAGUCGUACGCCCACCCCUUUGAUCAGAUUUAUUACACCAGCUGCUCCGACAUCCUCAACUGGUUCAAGUGCACGCGGCACA